GAGGGAAAUAAGCAGAGGUCCAGAAACAGGGCUACCCACCAAUCGCGUGGUGACAGAGGAGAGAGGGUCCUAAGGACAGAUGAGGAUGUUCUUGAUUUUGUACUCCAAGUAAAUGUAUUUAAGAAUGGUUACCCCAACCUCUGAGAAACCUGAAAGUGGCAGCUGGAAAUGCCAGGAGAACACAUGGCAACGCUGAAUUGACAGAGUUCAAACACCAAAGGGGCAUUUGAGAACUGGAGCUGCCCGAUGGCAAGAGGGCACUUGUAUCAGAAGCUUCACUGCACAGGCCUACAGUAAAUGGUGCCUUGACAUCAAAUGAGUUGGUUGGCUAGUUCCUUCCCCAUGAAAUUGUUAUUUUAAACCCCAAACUACCUGGCAUAAUUUCCAGUCUGCUGACUGAAAAUCAGAAUGGAGCAUAACUAUUUUCCUUGCAGAAAAAGGCUGCCCAGGGAUGUACUGGAGAUGAUCAGGAGAGACAUGCUUUUCUCCUUCAAACCUUUUGCCUACUUUGUAUUUCCAGUUUUCACAGCCCACCUUUUUCUGAGACCACACACAGAGACUACACUGAUUGGAAUCAAGUUUAAAGGCAUGGCUUACAUUCAGACAGGAUAUGAGCAAAGUUACCCAGCAGCACCAGCGGGAACUGAGCCAAUGAAAACCCCCUGCCCUGCUGCAUUCUAAUUUCACAGGUGCCCCCGCCUUCCGGGCACAACAGGAAAUGAGUCAAGGCAAUGAUGAUAAUGAGAGGAAGAAAAAAAGUGCUUCCUCUGUACAAAAUGCUUACACACAGGACUAGAAAAAGGAGGCCUAGAAAAGUUAAUGGUCAAAGGUCUCCCAGUGGCAUGGAUGAGAUGUAGAACAACAUGGCUUCCUGGACAAGAACAGAACAACAUUUCUAAACUUUAAACUCAACGAGAAAAACAUAGUUGUCUCUGUUCAAACAUGGAUUAACUGCACUUUCAGGCAAAAACUCAGUUGAGCCACUUCAAUUACACUUGACAAAAGGUUCAGUUUUCCAAAAAUGAAAUAGCAAUAUGUUUUUUUUUUCCAUUAUGAAACUACAAUUUUCAAUACAGCAGAGAAGUUUAUUUUGGAUCAGAAAGAAAAAAGGAAAAAAACAGCCAUGAAAUUUCUAAGAAGGUGAGAAAACUUCAGAGGCCACAGUUUCAAAUAAUGACAGUGGAAAUGACUUCAGUAGUUAAAGAAAAUAUUUAUAUAGGAGACUAAAGCAUUACACCAUGGAGAACUCUCCUAACCCCUUCUAUAUGGACAUUUUGUCUCACAUCCAUGUGCUAAACCUAAAAGACCCUUUCUGGAAUGUUCUUCAUCCCCAGCCAGGCCUGUCUAGUCUGCUUUCCCUUUAGAGCUCAGCUUCAGACCACCCUUCUUAUCAAAUCCUCUCUACUUUCUGCCUUUAUCUGUUUUUCAUCUUUCUAGUUCCUUUUUACUGGUGAUACAUACAAAGGGUAGCACUUAAUUUUUCAAGACUAGUUUCCUUUGUGCUAGUUUGGGCUCCACUGCCAGAAAAUAAAACCUUUGAAGGCAGGAAUUAUUUCUUACACCUCUUUGUAUCUUCAGAGGACCGGCCCCACAGGAAGCUCUGAGAGCCCUGACUCCUGAGCUAUCUUUAUCACCAGCUCUUCCUGGAGACUUCAGAAGGCUUCCACUUCCUUUACUUAUUGAAGCAAAGCACUCUGAUGAGCUUUCCUUCUUAGGUGCUUAGUACAGAAAGAGGUUUAUUUUUCCCUCUCUUUCUCCCACAGUAGCAUAAUGAUGCAACAUGGAUUAAAACCACUUGGGUUCAAAUACCAGACUCACCACUUCUUAGCUGCGUGAUCAUUGACAAAUUAUUUAAUCUCUCCCAGCCUCAGUUUCACCAUUUAUAAAUUGGAAAUAGUAGUAUCUAUUUCAUAGUUUUAUUGUGAGGAAUAAGUGAGAAAAUAUCUGUAAAUACUUCUUACGAUGGCUGGCAUGCAGUAAGAAUUCAUUACCUCCUACUUGUUGCAAUUCUGUAAAAAGUCUGGGCCUCUUAUAUCUAAGAUGCUUCUUUAUGGAGCAUGGUGUGUAGUGCACUGUACCAGGCCGAGCAGCUGGGCAGCAGUUCUGCUCCGUGAUGGAGCCCCUGCUUGGUAACCCCACUCAACACCAGCAGAGAUGCCUGCAGUGUUAUUGGCCCCUGUAGAAUCUGCUCACAGCUGCUGGCAAGGGUGGAAAUACAUAUGAAUCCUGGAUGAAAGUGACCUUCAGAAGGGGAGAUGAGCACAAGGAGCUCAGUUUGAUGGUAAGAGACUGUAUAUGCAAAUGGACAAUGGCCACAGUCUGCAGCAACCAGCCCAGGAAACCAAUCUGUUAUCUAGAGCAGCGAGGCCAGAAAGCCAGCCUGCUCUCUGCAGGUCAGACUCAUGGGAAAUCAGACCACUAUCUCUAGUAACAAUUCAGAAACCCAAACAAUAACUCCUCUAACAAUCUGCCCCAAAUGGCCAGGAUUUCAUUAGUAACUGACAGCUUCCUUAAUUUUGGUCACUGCCUACAACUUAGGACUAACUAGAGAAAGCCUUGACCAGCCACAUAGGAUGUCCUGCUUCUAGGCAUAGAAUCUGCCUCCAGAUUCCCCAUGCCAAAACCCUCCAAUCAGACCAUACUUGAAACCUUCUCUUUUUUCCACUGUAAAGCCCUCCCACUCCUCUGCCUGCCUGUGAGCCUUGCCAAAUGCAAGUGACACAGUGCCUGACUCCCUUGCUAUAGCAAGCUCUGAAUAAAUAGCCUUUGCUUGUUCUC